AUUGAACGCUGGCGGCAGGCCUAACACAUGCAAGUCGAACGAGUGGCGGACGGGUGAGUAAUGUCUGGGAAACUGCCUGAUGGAGGGGGAUAACUACUGGAAACGGUAGCUAAUACCGCAUACCAUCGGAUGUGCCCAGAUGGGAUUAGCUAGUCGGUGGGGUAAAGGCUCACCUAGGCGACGAUCCCUAGCUGGUCUGAGAGGAUGACCAGGCACACUGAAACUGAGUCACGGUCCAGACUCCUACGGGAGGCAGCAGUGGGGAAUAUUGCACAAUGGGCGCAAGCCUGAUACAGCCAUGCCGCGUGUAUGAAGAAGGCCUUCGGGUUGUAAAGUACUUUCAGCGGGGAGGCGUUACCGACAUAAGAAGCACCGGCUAACUCCGUGCCAGCAGCCGCGGUAAUAG
rnacentral:rRNA from 1 species